rnacentral:lncRNA from 1 species
UCCGAUUUUCGACUUUUUCGUCUUUCCAGUUAGAUGUCCCAACUUUUUACGAUCAUCGAUUGCAAACUCUUCCAAUUGUGCCCAUUUCAGACAGUUCUUCCUAUUUAAUCGAUGAGAAGUUAACUGGAAGGGCAUGUGAGAAACAUUGCCUCCUUGAGUCAUAUGAUUUGGAGCUUCCAAAGAAGACAUUUUGUCUUCUUUUGAUAUUCCAUAUUCUCCCUGAGAAGCUAUUUUGGCCAUAUGGUAUUAGGGCAAAAAUUCUAAGUCUGAUACCAUGAAUGUUUAGAUACUGCAAAAAUAUGUUUUUAUUCAUAGAGUUGCACAAUAUUUAUAGGUGAACAAGAAGAUCAAAAGAAUCUAAUCAAUCCCUAAUUCCUAGGAGUUAUGUUGUGCGGACUCAUUGAUUUCGCUGAUGAAUCCAUCCCAACGCGGCGCUGGUACGGGCUCAGGGUACGUCUCUGAUUUGGUAAAACAAAUCCGAAGACGUUGAUCCAACAUCAAGAAUAAAGUUGGUUGUCAUCGUCGUCGUAAGAAAAACCGGUGACUGUAAUUAUUGUCGUCGCCAGAAGGGAGAAAAUAGGUGGUCACCAUCGGAAUCCGGCAAGAAUCCGGCGACAAUCAUCAUCAGAAUCAGCGACUGCUGUCAUCGUCGAAAUUUGGCGACUGUAAUUUUGUCGAAGGAAUUUGAAUCGUUGGGAAGAAACAGAAAGUGGUUGAGGAUUGUGAUGAUGACUCGUCA